rnacentral:lncRNA from 1 species
UUGAAUGUCAUUGAGAAAACAGAGAAAGUUAAAGAUUUUUUUCACAAACAUCCUUUCUGAUUAAAAGUAAUCCUCGAAGUAAUCAUCUAGUUUUUCAAAAGUAUCGGUAAUCUGAUUAUAAUAUGUUUAUGUUUGCUGGUAACGUAAUGGAUUUCAGUUACCUUUUUACAUGUAAUCCGUUACUCCCCAACCCUGCACACCUGUCAGGUAGAUUGAUUAUAUUGGCAAAGGAGAAAUGCUCACUAACAGGGAUGUAAACAAAUGUGUUGUUCUGGGUGUGUAAGGGAGGCGAGAGUAGCUUGUGGUAACAGGCGCGCUUUAUUACGUUCCAACAAACGACAGCACAGAAUACACUAAACGUGCCAAAACACGGAACAUUAAUUAAAAAUUCAGGCGCAUGGUAAAUUCCCACAUAACAUACAACAAUUUCACACAAAGACAUAGAGGGGAACAGAGGACUAAAUCCAUGCAGUGUGAUUAGGGAAUGAAAACCAGGUGUGUAUGGAACAAGACAAAACAAAUGGAAAUAUGAAAAAUGGAGCAGCGAUGGCUAGAAAGCUGGUGACGUCGAUCGCCGAACGCCGCCCAAACAAGGAGAGGAGCUGACUUCAGCGGAAGUCGUGACAUUUGUGCACAACAUUUGAGAGAAAUAAGCUUUUUGUACGUAUGGAAAAUUUUGGGGAUUUUUUAUUUCAGCUCAUGAAACAUGGGACCAACACUUUACAUGUUGUGUUUAUAGUUUUGUUCAGUCUAAAUCAGAAGGGAGUAUGUUUUGAUGUGUCUGUCAUAUCUGAUAGAUAUAAGAAAGCUCAGGAAAAUUAUUAUAUAUUUUUUACAGUGGAAAUGCCCUAUUCACUACCAUUCAUUUUUCG